UGAUGUCCCCCCUCUCCUCUUCAAAACGAGUAGAAGGUUUAUAUAAACCUCUACCUACUUCGUAGAAUUUAAUAGAUCUCAACCAUCGUGUGAAGAGUAAAUAUACCUGCACUCGACUGAUCAAGCAAUUAUCGCCAUGGCAAAUCAAAGGCAUACGAUGGCAAUAGUAUUGGUGAUGUGCAUUUGCCUCCUCAGUUCCACACUUGCAUAUCCAGUUCGUGAAAGUUAUAGUGGCAGAGGAGCAAAAGCUGAAGGGAAGCCCCGCCUGAGAGCUCACAUGAGUGAUGGAGCACAGCCCAGAUUUGCAGAAUACCCACUCCUGUAUUCUUCGGGUUUUCAGCGGCAAUAAUUCCAGCUCCACCUCUUUCCUAGCAUUCUCCAUCUCAUCAUCAUAUUAUUCGUCUGAUGGCAGCGGGACUGUUUAGAUGCGUUGAUCGCUUCAUUUCUUACACUUUGUUCUUGUGAUAAUAAAUUUGUGUAUCUCAUUUA